UUUAGUGUUUGGUCCCAUAUCCCUAGCACGCAAUGAUUACAUCAAGCUUGUUGGAUACCUUUACUGUUUGUUUAGGAUGUUUCCAUUUUUUUUUGUAAAUAAGAAUAGAAUAUGUUUCUAUACAUUUCUACCCUAGCUUCCUGGGUCAGAUAUGUACCUUAAACCAUACUGUACUGUAUAACAUUUUUUUUAAUGGUUAUUAUUAAUUUUUUUUUACCUUUAUUUAACCAGGAAGGGCUCAUUGAGAUUACAAUCUAUUUUUCAAGAGCGCCCUGGUGUAAGGGUUUUCUUCUGACGAAGAGGAGUAGUAUGAAGGAUCGGAGGACCAAAACGCAGCAUGAGUCUCCAUGGCAACUCAAGCUUGCACUUGAAUGGGGAAUCUCUAUCUCUCUGCGCUAGUUGUCUGUAAUCUGGAAAUAGAUGACUCCAAUUCCUGGAGGUGUUGGUAGGCGGGGCCAGAAUGUUUGGAUCCUCCAACUGGAUUUCGUCUUCCUCUGGGUAUGGGCGGAGUUUUACG